ACAGUUCACUGUCAGGUUCUGGAACAUUCUCUCUAGACAACAGUUCACUGUCAGGUUCUGGAGCAUUCUCUCUAGACAACAGUUCACUGUCAGGUUCUGGAGCAUUCUCUAUAAACAACAGUUCACUGUCAGGUUCUGGAGCAUUCUCUCU